rnacentral:rRNA from 1 species
GAUGAACGCUGGCGGCGUGCCCAAUACAUGCAAGUCGAGCGAACAGACGAGGAGCUCGCUCCUCUGACGUUAGCGGCGGACGGGUGAGUAACACGUGGAUAACCUACCUAUAAGACUGGGAUAACUUCGGGAAACCGGAGCUAAUACCGGAUAAUAUAUUGAACCGCAUGGUUCAAUAGUGAAAGACGGUUUUGCUGUCACUUAUAGAUGGAUCCGCGCCGCAUUAGCUAGUUGGUAAGGUAACGGCUUACCAAGGCAACGAUGCGUAGCCGACCUGAGAGGGUGAUCGGCCACACUGGAACUGAGACACGGUCCAGACUCCUACGGGAGGCAGCAGUAGGGAAUCUUCCGCAAUGGGCGAAAGCCUGACGGAGCAACGCCGCGUGAGUGAUGAAGGUCUUCGGAUCGUAAAACUCUGUUAUUAGGGAAGAACAAAUGUGUAAGUAACUAUGCACGUCUUGACGGUACCUAAUCAGAAAGCCACGGCUAACUACGUG